GUGCUCGCUUCCCUAGCACAUAUACUAAAAUGGAAACGAUACAGAAAUUAGCAUGGCCCCUGAGCAAG
rnacentral:snRNA from 1 species